rnacentral:misc_RNA from 1 species
GUCUUCUAGCCGUGGAACAUGUAUAAGUCCAAAAAUAUACCAAAGAACUAUUUGCGUUUCUUCUAGGGAUCGAUUCUGCUGAACCCAAGUAGCCAAACCUUCACCAACACGGGGAUUUUGAUUUGGAAACUCUCCUCCAGGAAACAUCUCUUCACGAGAGUAAGGGGUGACCCAAAGAUUAUGCUUUAAGAAGGCAGCUCUCCUCAAGAAUUUUGCCUCUGAACCAGCUAGUGGCAGACAAUUUGAACCUGGUACUAGCUUAUAACCAGUUAACUGCCCAGUGCGAUUGACUGUUCUUGUGUUCCGGAUAAUCCAAUGGCGUGCAGUUAAAGG